rnacentral:misc_RNA from 1 species
UCUGCCUUAUCGGCAAGCGGUCUCCUUAGAGUGCCCAACUUAAUGCUGGCAACUAAGGACAAGGGUUGCGCUCGUUGCGGGACUUAACCCAACAUCUCACGACACGAGCUGACGACAGCCAUGCAGCACCUGUCUCGACGUCCCUUGCGGGAACUCCGGAUUUCACCGGAUAGCGUCGGAUGUCAAGCCCAGGUGAGGUUCUUCGCGUUGCCUCGAAUUAAACCACAUACUCCACUGCUUGUGCGGGCCCCCGUCAAUUUCUUUGAGUUUUAACCUUGCGGCCGUAAUUCCCAGGCGGAUCACUUAACGCGUUAGCUACGACACCGAAGCGGUAAGUGCUCCGACAUCUAGUGAUCAUCGUUUACAGCGUGGACUAC